rnacentral:rRNA from 1 species
GUCGAGAAUUUUUCUCAAUGGGGGAAACCCUGAAGGAGCGACGCCGCGUGGAGGAUGAAGGUCUUCGGAUUGUAAACUCCUGUCAUUUGGGAACAAUUGUUGGCGAUUAACUGUCGUCAACUUGAUAGUACCAGAAGAGGAAGAGACGGCUAACUCUGUGCCAGCAGCCGCGGUAAUACAGAGGUCUCAAGCGUUGUUCGGAUUCAUUGGGCGUAAAGGGUGCGUAGGUGGCGGGGUAAGUCUGGUGUGAAAUCUCGGGGCUCAACCCCGAAACUGCACUGGAUACUGCCUUGCUCGAGUACUGGAGAGGAGAUUGGAAUUUACGGUGUAGCAGUGAAAUGCGUAGAUAUCGUAAGGAAGACCAGUGGCGAAGGCGAAUCUCUGGACAGUUACUGACACUGAGGCACGAAGGCCAGGGGAGCAAACGGGAUUAGAAACCCCAGUAGUCC